rnacentral:rRNA from 1 species
UCCAGAGGUCCCAAGCGUUGUUCGGAUUCACUGGGCGUAAAGGGUGCGUAGGCGGUCGGGUAAGUUUGAUGUGAAAUCUCCGGGCUUAACCCGGAAACUGCAUUGAAUACUAUUCGGCGUGAGGUCUGGAGGGGGGACUGGAAUUCUCGGUGUAGCAGUGAAAUGCGUAGAUAUCGAGAGGAACACCAGUGGCGAAGGCGAGUCCCUGGACAGGUCCUGACGCUGAGGCACGAAAGCUAGGGGAGCAAACAGG